GCUCAUAGCUGAUUAGGUCUCCCCUUUCCUUGCCAGGCUUGACAGUGCAGAACUCUGAAACAGAAUAUAUUUCCAUCCUGAAGAACAGUGAAAGCAUGUUGGUCUCCAGGCUUCUGGUGAUUCUGUCUUCGCUGUGGCUCGGAUCAGGUAUCGCUCAGAAGGUAACUCAAGCCCAACCAGCAAUACUGGUGCAAGAGAAAGAACCUGUGACCAUGGAUUGCACAUAUGAGGUCAGUGCUACAAGUUACAAUCUCUACUGGUACAAGCAGCCCAGCACUGGGGAGAUGAUCUUCCUUAUUCGCCAGGACUCCUACGGCCAGCACAAUGCAACACAAGGCCGCUACUCACUGAAUUUCCAGAAGGAAAGGAAAUCCAUCAGCCUUAUCAUCUCCACUUCACAGCUGGAAGACUCAGCUGCGUACUUCUGUGCACUGAGAGAUGACACUGUGAGAGGACUCUUGGAGGGAAGUGCACAAAAACUCUGA